rnacentral:rRNA from 1 species
GACGAACGCUGGCGGCGUGCUUGACACAUGCAAGUCGAACGGAAAGGCCCUGCUUUUGUGGGGUGCUAGAGUGGCGAACGGGUGAGUAACACGUGAGUAACCUGCCCUUGACUUUGGGAUAACUUCAGGAAACUGGGGCUAAUACCGGAUAGGAGCUCCUGCUGCAUGGUGGGGGUUGGAAAGUUUCGGCGGUUGGGGAUGGACUCGCGGCUUAUCAGCUUGUUGGUGGGGUAGUGGCUUACCAAGGCUUUGACGGGUAGCCGGCCUGAGAGGGUGACCGGCCACAUUGGGACUGAGAUACGGCCCAGACUCCUACGGGAGGCAGCAGUGGGGAAUAUUGCACAAUGGGCGGAAGCCUGAUGCAGCAACGCCGCGUGCGGGAUGACGGCCUUCGGGUUGUAAACCGCUUUCGCCUGUGACGAAGCGUGAGUGACGGUAAUGGGUAAAGAAGCACCGGCUAACUACGUG